AAACCGGAGGAAGGUGGGGAUGACGUCAAAUCAUCAUGCCCCUUAUGACCUGGGCUACACACGUGCUACAAUGGUUGGUACAACGAGUUGCGAGUCGGUGACGGCGAGCUAAUCUCUUAAAGCCAAUCUCAGUUCGGAUUGUAGGCUGCAACUCGCCUACAUGAAGUCGGAAUCGCUAGUAAUCGCGGAUCAGCACGCCGCGGUGAAUACGGUUCCCGGGCCUU
rnacentral:rRNA from 1 species